GUGCUCGCUUCGGCAGCACAUGUAUCAAAACUGGAACGAUUCGGGGAAGAUUAGCAUGGCCCCUGUGCAAACGAUGACCAAAAAAUAAAAAUAAAUUAAAAAAUCCCA